rnacentral:rRNA from 1 species
UACGUAGGGGGCAAGCGUUGUCCGGAAUCAUUGGGCGUAAAGCGCGUGUAGGCGGCUCGAUAAGUCCGCUCUGAAAGUCCAGGGCUCAACCCUGGAAGGCGGGUGGAUACUGUCGAGCUCGAGUCCGGAAGAGGCGAGUGGAAUUCCCGGUGUAGCGGUGAAAUGCGCAGAUAUCGGGAGGAACACCAAUGGCGAAGGCAGCUCGCUGGGACGUGACUGACGCUGAGACGCGAAAGCGUGGGGAGCGAACAGG